CAGCAGCCGCGGUAAUACGAAGGGGGCUAGCGUUGCUCGGAAUGACUGGGCGUAAAGGGCGCGUAGGCGGUGGCCAAAGUCAGGCGUGAAAUUCCCGGGCUCAACCUGGGGGCUGCGCUUGAUACUUGGUUGCUUGAGUGGGGAAGAGGGUCGUGGAAUUCCCGGUGUAGCAGUGAAAUGCGUAGAGAUCGGAAGGAACAUCUGUGGCGAAGGCGACUAUCUGGGCCAACACUGACACUGAGGCACGAAAGCGUGGGGAGCAAACAGGAUUAGAUACCCCCGUAGUCCCUGUCUCUUAUAC
rnacentral:rRNA from 1 species